rnacentral:rRNA from 1 species
CCUACGGGAGGCAGCAGUGAGGAAUAUUGGUCAAUGGGCGCGAGCCUGAACCAGCCAAGUAGCGUGAAGGAUGACUGCCCUACGGGUUGUAAACUUCUUUUAUAAAGGAAUAAAGUGAGGCACGUGUGCCUUUUUGUAUGUACUUUAUGAAUAAGGAUCGGCUAACUCCGUGCCAGCAGCCGCGGUAAUACGGAGGAUCCGAGCGUUAUCCGGAUUUAUUGGGUUUAAAGGGAGCGUAGAUGGGGUGUUAAGUCAGUUGUGAAAGUUUGCGGCGCAACCGGAAAAUUGCAAUUGAUACUGGCAGCCUUGAGUACAGGUGAGGUAGGAGGAAUUCGUGGUGUAGCGGUGAAAUGCUUAGAUAUCACGAAGAACUCCGAUUGCGAAGGCAGCUUACUAAACUGCAACUGACAUUGAUGCUCGAAAGUGUGGGUAUCAAACAGGAUUAGAUACCCGAGUAGUC